rnacentral:rRNA from 1 species
GAUGAACGCUGGCGGCGUGCUUAACACAUGCAAGUCGAACGAAGCAUUUGCGACAGCUUUUUUCGGCAUGAAGUUGCUUAUGACUGAGUGGCGGACGGGUGAGUAACGCGUGGGUAACCUGCCUUGUACUGGGGGAUAGCAGCUGGAAACGGCUGGUAAUCCCGCAUAAGCGCACAAUGUUGCAUGACAUGGUGUGAAAAACUCCGGUGGUAUAGGAUGGACCCGCGUCUGAUUAGCUAGUUGGUGAGAUAACAGCCCACCAAGGCGACGAUCAGUAGCCGACAUGAGAGGAUGACCGGCCACAUUGGGACUGAGACACGGCCCAGACUCCUACGGGAGGCAGCAGUGGGGAAUAUUGGACAAUGGAGGAAACUCUGAUGCAGCGACGCCGCGUGAGUGAAGAAGGAAUUCGUGAUGUAAAGCUCUAUCAGCAGGGAAGAUAGUGACGGUACCGGAAGAAGAAGCUCCGGCUAAAUACGUG